rnacentral:rRNA from 1 species
AAAGGAAUAGACGGGGGCCCGCACAAGCGGUGGAGCAUGUGGUUUAAUUCGACGCAACGCGAAGAACCUUACCAGGGCUUGACAUCCCGCGAACCCAUUGGAAACAGUGGGGUGCCCUUCGGGGAGCGCGGAGACAGGUGGUGCAUGGUUGUCGUCAGCUCGUGUCGUGAGAUGUUGGGUUAAGUCCCGCAACGAGCGCAACCCCUAUACUUUGUUGCCAGCACAAAAGGUGGGCACUCAAAGUAGACUGCCAGAGACAAUCUGGAGGAAGGUGGGGACGACGUCAAAUCAUCAUGCCCCUUAUGCUCUGGGCGACACACGUGCUACAAUGGUCGGCACAGAGGGCAGCGAACCCGCGAGGGGGAGCGAAUCCCUAAAACCGGCCCCAGUUCGGAUUGCAGGCUGCAACUCGCCUGCAUGAAGCAGGAAUCGCUAGUAAUCGCGGAUCAGAAUGCCGCGGUGAAUACGUUCCCGGGCCUUGUACACACCGCCCGU